GUAUAGUAAGGCAUAAAAAGUCAAAAAAAGUCAUAGUAUAGUAAGGCAUAAAAAUGCAAAAAAACGUCAUUGUAUAGUAAGGCAUAAAAAGUCAUAGUAUAGUAAGGCAUAAAAACAACAUAAAAACUCAUAGUAUAGUAAUGCAUAAAAAGUCAUAGUAUAGUAAGGCAUAAAAAG